rnacentral:lncRNA from 1 species
UCCAGCCACUGUCUCUCCCAGGCGUGACUCCGAUCCUCUGGCAGGCAGCCCCAGCGCAGCUUCUCCUGUAAGUCCCUGGAUACAGAGGCCCCGGCACUGUUCCUCCUUUAGCUUCUUGUCACCAUAGAGCUGCAUGUUUUCAAAGUAGGGGAAUCCUCCUGGGACCCCAGUGACUGUCCCAGGGGUCCUGGGUCCUCUGAAUGCCAGUAGGAUCGUGCUAGCAGCUCUUGAAGAGUUUCUGUGUGUCCGAAGUGUGGCCAGCAUGGCCCAGGAGCGACCUGCAGCAGCACAGCGGGGCAGACGUCGUCUGUGCUCAGAAGCAGAUGCACUGGCAAGACACGAUACCUUCACUUCUCCAACCUUAGGCCGGGGACCCUACUGGCCCCAGGAGACCUCAGCAUCGGCGGGGAUGACUGUCCUCAGAGACUUUUUAGAAAGGAAAGUCCAGGAUGGACGAUGGCAAGACUAAGCCUGUCUCAAUGUGGGAUAUCUGAAUUUACACACACUCCAAUAAAUUGUGGAAUUACACAGCAUGCAUUGCACAUUACAUACAUUACACAGCAAACAACUGCAGAGUGGUCCUUUAAAGACACACGGCUGAGGGGCCACAGAUGUAGCAUGGACUGACUACUGCUGUUUGAAUUGGCACAGUGUUAACGCUGUCUUACCACAGACAAGAAACAGGGUACUCCAAGCUUUACCAGUGAAGCUUCUCUUUGUAGAAUACAAA